AGGGGAAUAGUUCAAGGGUAGAAUAGUGGUCUCCAAAACCAUCGAUGGGAGUUCGAAUCUCUCUUCCCCUGCCA
rnacentral:tRNA from 1 species